UUUAUGGAGAGUUUGAUCCUGGCUCAGAGUGAACGCUGGCGGCGUGCCUAAUACAUGCAAGUCGAACGAUGAAGCUUCUAGCUUGCUAGAGUGCUGAUUAGUGGCGCACGGGUGAGUAACGCAUAGGUUAUGUGCCUCUUAGUUUGGGAUAGCCAUUGGAAACGAUGAUUAAUACCAGAUACUCCCUACGGGGGAAAGAUUUAUCGCUAAGAGAUCAGCCUAUGUCCUAUCAGCUUGUUGGUAAGGUAAUGGCUUACCAAGGCUAUGACGGGUAUCCGGCCUGAGAGGGUGAACGGACACACUGGAACUGAGACACGGUCCAGACUCCUACGGGAGGCAGCAGUAGGGAAUAUUGCUCAAUGGGGGAAACCCUGAAGCAGCAACGCCGCGUGGAGGAUGAAGGUUUUAGGAUUGUAAACUCCUUUUGUUAGAGAAGAUAAUGACGGUAUCUAACGAAUAAGCACCGGCUAACUCCGUGCCAGCAGCCGCGGUAAUACGGAGGGUGCAAGCGUUACUCGGAAUCACUGGGCGUAAAGAGCGCGUAGGCGGGAUAGUCAGUCAGGUGUGAAAUCCUAUGGCUUAACCAUAGAACUGCAUUUGAAACUACUAUUCUAGAGUGUGGGAGAGGUAGGUGGAAUUCUUGGUGUAGGGGUAAAAUCCGUAGAGAUCAAGAGGAAUACUCAUUGCGAAGGCGACCUGCUGGAACAUUACUGACGCUGAUUGCGCGAAAGCGUGGGGAGCAAACAGGAUUAGAUACCCUGGUAGUCCACGCCCUAAACGAUGGAUGCUAGUUGUUGGAGGGCUUAGUCUCUCCAGUAAUGCAGCUAACGCAUUAAGCAUCCCGCCUGGGGAGUACGGUCGCAAGAUUAAAACUCAAAGGAAUAGACGGGGACCCGCACAAGCGGUGGAGCAUGUGGUUUAAUUCGAAGAUACACGAAGAACCUUACCUAGGCUUGACAUUGAGAGAAUCCGCUAGAAAUAGUGGAGUGUCUAGCUUGCUAGACCUUGAAAACAGGUGCUGCACGGCUGUCGUCAGCUCGUGUCGUGAGAUGUUGGGUUAAGUCCCGCAACGAGCGCAACCCCCUUUCUUAGUUGCUAACAGGUUAUGCUGAGAACUCUAAGGAUACUGCCUCCGUAAGGAGGAGGAAGGUGGGGACGACGUCAAGUCAUCAUGGCCCUUACGCCUAGGGCUACACACGUGCUACAAUGGGGUGCACAAAGAGAAGCAAUACUGCGAAGUGGAGCCAAUCUUCAAAACACCUCUCAGUUCGGAUUGUAGGCUGCAACUCGCCUGCAUGAAGCUGGAAUCGCUAGUAAUCGCAAAUCAGCCAUGUUGCGGUGAAUACGUUCCCGGGUCUUGUACUCACCGCCCGUCACACCAUGGGAGUUGUGUUUGCCUUAAGUCAGGAUGCUAAAUUGGCUACUGCCCACGGCACACACAGCGACUGGGGUGAAGUCGUAACAAGGUAACCGUAGGUGAACCUGCGGUUGGAUCACCUCCUUUCUAGA
rnacentral:rRNA from 1 species